rnacentral:rRNA from 1 species
GACGAACCGUGCGAACGUUGUUCGGAAUAACUGGGCUUAAAGGGUGCGUAGGCGGGUUAUUAAGUCAGUGGUGAAAGCCUACAGCUUAACUGUAGAAUUGCCAUUGAUACUGAUGAUCUUGAGUAUGAUUGAGGUGGGCGGAAUGUGUCAUGUAGCGGUGAAAUGCUUAGAUAUGACACAGAACACCAAUUGCGAAGGCAGCUUACUACGGGAACAUUGACACUGAGGCACGAAAGCGUGGGGAUCAAACAGG